GACGAACGCUGGCGGCGCGCCUAACACAUGCAAGUCGAACGAGCGAGAGAGAGCUUGCCUUCUCGAGCGAGUGGCGAACGGGUGAGUAACGCGUGAGGAACCUGCCUCAAAGAGGGGGACAACAGUUGGAAACGACUGCUAAUACCGCAUAAGCCCACGACCCGGCAUCGGGUAGAGGGAAAAGGAGCAAUCCGCUUUGAGAUGGCCUCGCGUCCGAUUAGCUAGUUGGUGAGGUAACGGCCCACCAAGGCGACGAUCGGUAGCCGGACUGAGAGGUUGAACGGCCACAUUGGGACUGAGACACGGCCCAGACUCCUACGGGAGGCAGCAGUGGGGAAUAUUGCACAAUGGGGGAAACCCUGAUGCAGCGACGCCGCGUGGAGGAAGAAGGUCUUCGGAUUGUAAACUCCUGUUGUGGAGGAAGAUAAUGACGGUACUCAACAAGGAAGUGACGGCUAACUACGUG
rnacentral:rRNA from 1 species